rnacentral:rRNA from 1 species
GACGAACGCUGGCGGCGUGCCUAAUACAUGCAAGUAGAACGCUGAAGAGAGGAGCUUGCUCUUCUUGGAUGAGUUGCGCACGGGUGAGUAACGCGUAGGUAACCUGCCUUGUAGCGGGGGAUAACUAUUGGAAACGAUAGCUAAUACCGCAUAACAAUGGAUGACACAUGUCAUUUAUUUGAAAGGGGCAAUUGCUCCACUACAAGAUGGACCUGCGUUGUAUUAGCUAGUAGGUGAGGUAACGGCUCACCUAGGCGACGAUACAUAGCCGACCUGAGAGGGUGAUCGGCCACACUGAGACUGAGACACGGCCCAGACUCCUACGGGAGGCAGCAGUAGGGAAUCGUCGGCAAUGGGGGCAACCCUGACCGAGCAACGCCGCGUGAGUGAAGAAGGUUUUCGGAUCGUAAAGCUCUGUUGUAAGUCAAGAACGAGUGUGAGAGUGGAAAGUUCACACUGUGACGGUAGCUUACCAGAAAGGGACGGCUAACUACGUG